AGCGACGUAUGUUACGCCACGUAGUGUUAAGCGAGAUGGGAACUUGUGGCUAAAGCAAGACUAGCUCUAGUAACUAUAGGCUAUAGCUCAUACUCAUAUAUAUACCGCGUUCGCACGGUCAUUGUUUGGCUCGAGCCUAAUGGUCUAAAUUUGGCUCGGGCUAAAUUUGGCUUGGGCCGGUUUGAGUCAGAGCGUUCACACGAACACAAGUGAAUACCGGUACUGUCUGUCAAAUUCAAAUUCAAAUUCAAAUACAUUUUAUUCCACAAAUAUCUUACAGAUACUUUGCCAGUAUGUCGCGAGAUGGCGUUGUGUAUGAUUCAGAGUGUUUACUUCCGUUCCGCGUUGAAUAGGUUGGGGGCGGACAUCCGGGAACUUUUGACAAUUUGACCGGAUGUAGAUUUGAGCCGAUGAAAACAAACUGUAGUAACGCACUGCUCAAUGCACGCAGCGCAUAGUGCCAAGGAAUUAUGUGGUGUUUGGAUGCCGCAAUCACACUCACAGUCUUUCAAGUGACAAAAAACGCUCAUUCUUUGAGCUGCCGUAGCCCGAGAGGAGAGACAGAUGGCUAACAGCAAAUAGUCAGGAAAACGAAGACGGCUUCCACUGGAGUCCCGCCGGGUCAAUGACUGUUUGUUCUGACCACUUUGUCACAGCCACAGCCUAAAACGGCCAUCGAAAGAUUCUCUACAUCCAGAUUAUCUCCCAUCAAUUUUCCCCCACCGACCCAACAGUCAACACAGAGCAGAACACAGUUUAAAAA